GUCAGGCUGAUAGGGGCCUAAUGUUUCCUUUGCUUCAGGUGGAAGACACUGAACCCGAGUAUGCAUUCGAAUAGUUUAGUUUUCACGCCUGCCACGCGGGAGGCCCGGGUUCGGAUCCCAGCCCAUGCACCAUGGGACUAAAAUAUUUUGUGUCCAACAGGUGAAUUACAGGAGAAGGUGAUUCACUCAAUCCAACCAGGAGACUGGGUGUGGAUCCAGUCCCUGAGGAGAAAAAACUGGAAGCAGUCCCGUUGGGAAGGCCCAUACCAGGUGCUGUUAAACCAUUGCCUUUGCCAUUAGAAAAGCUGAGCGAGUCACUUGGGUCCACGUUACCCACUGCAAAAAGGUAUGUACACAUAUGAGCACGGAUGAUCACACACAGAGUUAGGAGAAGAACCGAGAACCAAUACGGUCCGGGGGUUACCUCCUUAAUGAAGAUUUCCUAUCCCGACCGUUCAUCACUGUGUGUGCUCCUAGAGGUGUGAGUAUGGGGCGGUACCAAGCAGAGAGACUAAGGGCAGGAGAGGGUUGACGGUUUUUGGGAAGAGUAGAGACUCUGAGCUGCAUCAUAGUCUAAUCUUUCUGAUACAUUCAGAUCCAACACCUACGGGUACUAAUCAUAGGAUACCGUUGUCAUUGAGAAGAAGUAAAAGAUAAACUAUAUAAUACACUGAUGAGUGACAUACAGAAUAAGGAAUCAAAGAAGAUCAAGAUGUAGAAUUUAAGGUAAACAUUAAACAAUUUUCUGGGGAAGCAGACAACUGUACAGGAAUAUGGGUUGGCCAGAUUGAAGUACUCAGCCAACCCACCUCGGUUCACCUAAAUUCCUGAUGAGCACCAGUGUUAUAGAUACAAGAAUGGCACCGAGAAUUAAGAUGAUUUUAAUGGCUGGAAAGGUAAUUGUUAAUAUGACUGACUUAGGUUUGAAAGCACAGGAGAAAAUGUUUAACCUCAUAGCACCUACAACUGAUGAAGGGUGGGCUAGUACCAGCAUAGGACGCAUACGACAGGAAUUACCAAAAAGGGUGGUUAGGAACUUGCGCCCUGGGGUUAUUGGUCCAACCAGUUCGAAUUAACUAUCAGAGACCAGUUGUAGGAGGCUAAAGAAGGUACAGGAGGAGUUUUGAUCAGGAUGGGAUUAGCUUUGUCUAGAUUGAUGCUAUUGGCAUCCUCAGGGAGGUUCCAGAUGAAUACAAAGUUAUGAAUCAAAUAUGUGAAGGCUUUAACACUACAUUAUGUUGGUAGUUGACAAUAAAUAAUAAUGUGGAUUGAAUUAAUGACAUCUUUUAAUCAACAGAGAUUCAUGAAUGAAACAGGGGAUGCAGUAAAGAGGUUCUCUGACCAAUUAUCCGCCACCUCCCUCAUGACCUGGUAAAAUAGACUGACUCUCGAUAGGUUACGGGCAAAGAGGAUGGUGUAGGUAGUAUGAUUAGGUUCAUUGCUGUACGUACAUUUCUGAUAACACAGCUCAUGUUUGGGAAAUGGAAAAGUGUUGCAAGAACUGUAUUAUGGGCUGCUUUCACCUGUAUGAGUGUGUUUGGGUUGUGUGGUUGUUGUUUGGUCCCGUGUGCGAGAGGUUUAAUCACCAGAACUCUAGCGAGAUGGAUAACGGAGCAGAUGGUGAGCUACGGACCGAGUCAAAGUUCAGAUCAAUGAGACGACAAGUACCUACCGCCGAGCAAGGUGGAGGAUUCAUUCAAAUAUGAGGAGCACAUGUUAGAUGAGACCAUCUAUUGGGAUGCAUGAAUUAGUUUGAAUUUGUGUGAAAUUUCUGAAUCCAAUAAAAAUAGAUGUGUUAUAAUGUAUGUGAAAUAUCUAGCAAAACGGGUGGAUUGUAAUGGGAAUGAUAUGAUUUUAAUCCCUAUUGAGACUUGACAAGCUAUCUGCUGAGAUGAAGGGUGAAGAGGGGGACUCACAAAAUUUGUCUCUGACAAAUUUGUGUACUUCCGUUUGUUUGUUUUCACUCCCGCUUUGCUGCAGCUUGUUCCCCUUUUUCUUUGUCACGUCUUGAAGACGUGAAGAGGGGGAUUUGUAAUAAAGAUAAUCUAACGUUUUACCUAGUGAUGUAUAAGGAGGGCAUUUGCACGACAUGCUUCGCAGCGGCGCACAGCAGGGCUCCAGAGACAUAUUGGGCAACCAACUGAUACCAAUCACGAGCACACUCAGAGACAGAUGGCUGACUUAAGCACUCACAUAACAUGACAAAACAGCACUCACAUAACAUGACAAAACAGGAAGCGCCCUAGCCACACGAACUGACCACUGGGGUAAAAAACAACACCCCAUGACUAUCGCAACCACCAAGACACGACUUAGCAGACACACACACACACACACACACACACUUAGGGGUGUUGGACUCCGAGGACAAAGGACACUGCCAAGGGCCAAUGGGAAGUCGACACCACCCGGAGAAUGGACCGUCCCUCCACUCAUCGACCAGUCAGGAGAGCGGACCCACUAGACUCAACCUACGUCAACACACUGUUAUUUCAUUGUAUAAAUUAAACGCACACUAUGUUUCGGGGCUCUCUUCCGCUAGUUCCCUAUGAGCUAAACGAACGAGUCCGUGCACGCUUUGGCAAAUAUCUUUGUCUCUU
rnacentral:lncRNA from 1 species